CGAACGAGAACGGUUUCCCGGUAGCAAUACUGGGAGACCAAGUAAAGUGGCGAACGGGUGAGUAACACGUAGCUAACCUGCCCUUCAGUGGGGGAUAACCCUGCGAAAGUGGAGCUAAUACCGCAUACAGUCCCCGGGACACAGGUUCUGGGGAGCAAAGCCGGUAACGGUGCUGAAGGAGGGGGCUGCGGCCGAUUAGCUAGUUGGUAGGGUAACGGCCUACCAAGGCUCCGAUCGGUAGCCGGCCUGAGAGGGCGCACGGUCACACUGGAACUGAAACACGGUCCAGACUCCUACGGGAGGCAGCAGUGGGGAAUUUUGCACAAUGCCCGAAAGGGUGAUGCAGCAACGCCGCGUGGAGGAUGAAGGUCCUCGGAUCGUAAACUCCUUUCGACCCGGAAGAAGGCCCGGUGAUGAGCCGGGAUUGACGGUACGGGUGGAAGAAGCCCCGGCCAACUACGUGCCAGCAGCCGCGGUAAUACGUAGGG
rnacentral:rRNA from 1 species